rnacentral:misc_RNA from 1 species
AUUUGUUCAUCCUGAUGAUUAAUAACGAGUAUUUAUAUAUGCACUAAUACAAUAUAAUUCUUUUCAGCUAUGCGUGUCGCCGGAAGAACUUUAUAAUUAUAUUCCGAAGUCAUAAUGACGUUAGCUGCAGAUAUCAUGGUAAAACAUUCUUUAAAUUUUAUUGACCACGAUGUUCCAGAAUGAUAUUGAAAAAGUAGCCAUGGUAUACAUACGAA